AAUUCAUAAAACUGACCCCCCCGUGAAAAAACGGGGAUAAGAAUAUAAGACGAGAAGACCCCAUGGAGCUUAAAACCCUACACCACCUACCCACCCCACAUCACCCAAAACAGGUAGACAUGGUGCCCAGUUUUCGGUUGGGGUGACCGCGGAGUAAAGCUAAACCUCCACGAUGAUAUUAUCUAAGAGCCACAACUCAAAGAAUCAACUAAUUGACAUACUUUGACCCAAAGAAAUUUGAUCAACGAACCAAGUUACCCUGGGGAUAACAGCGCAAUCCAUUUCAAGAGCCCCUAUCGACAAAUGGGUUUACGACCUCGAUGUUGGAUCAGGGUAUCCCAGUGGUGCAGCCGCUACUAAAGGUUUGUUUGUUCAACAAUUAAAACCCUACGUGAUCUGAG
rnacentral:rRNA from 1 species